CCUUACCCUUCAAAACCGGAACAUAGUAAUGCAGACAUUACUGCUUGGCGGCAGAAAUAGAUGAGGCAAGCAACUUUAAAAGUCUGCAUGCAGUAUUACUAACUUUUAAAUAAUGUCUCCAUGAAGAAAGAUAUCCCAUCUACAGUCUAAAAUGGGCGUUUGGUACUUUUAAUUACUCGUAGUAAUCGCUAUCUGGAGAAGUCAAUAUAAUGCUGCUUCGCCAUUCUGUUAUGGCACUCACUCGCUCGAAUGAAGAAGAAAUUUCGUCUAUAGUUUACUUUAGCCUAAGGAUAAUGAAGUAUGUUGGGAUAUCGAAAUAAAGCCACUGAAACACGCAAACCAAUGUUACUGACAAGCUUAGGACAGCUCCCGUAUCUUGGACAUGUUUUUUAAUUAUAAUGACCCUCCCAACCAAUCCCUCUUGGUUAUGCGGGAAGGGCACUAUAUCCGUUGUGCAUUGCACAACUAACGGUUGCCACCGCUAAACCGUUGACUCAGAGAAGAGAACUCAGGACAGUCCGUUCCUUUCGACAUAAGUUUUGAUUAUGGUAACCCUAGCUACCAACCCGAACGGUCCAUGAGAAAAGCAUUUAUACCCUGUGCAAGGACAGGGACCUUCUCUGUCAGGUCCUGACCACAGAUCAGCCUGUUUGCACACACUUCAAAAGGCUAGUGCCUUGAGUAAGAGAAGUUCAGAACAAUCGACUGAGUCAUUUGCUACUUUCAGAAAAUACAGGACAUCAGUCAUCCAUCUUCUUUCUUGUAACAGGAAUAUAUC